rnacentral:ncRNA from 2 species
CAGCGUCUUCAGGGCGGGGCGAAAUUCCCCACCGGCGGUAGGUUCUUCGGAACGAGCCCGCGAGCGCUUCCGGCCAGGCCGGAAGGUCAGCAGAUCCGGUCAGACUCCGGAGCCGACGGUUGGAAGCGGGCGACCGUUUCCUCACAGUCCGGAUAAAGAGAAGACGGCA